GACGAACGCUGGCGGCGUGCCUAAUACAUGCAAGUCGAGCGGACAGGCGGGAGCUUGCUCCCUGAUGUUAGCGGCGGACGGGUGAGUAACACGUGGGUAACCUGCCUGUAAGACUGGGAUAACUCCGGGAAACCGGGGCUAAUACCGGAUGGUUGUCUGAACCGCAUGGUUCAGACAUAAAAGGUGGCUUCGGCUACCACUUACAGAUGGACCCGCGGCGCAUUAGCUAGUUGGUGAGGUAACGGCUCACCAAGGCAACGAUGCGUAGCCGACCUGAGAGGGUGAUCGGCCACACUGGGACUGAGACACGGCCCAGACUCCUACGGGAGGCAGCAGUAGGGAAUCUUCCGCAAUGGACGAAAGUCUGACGGAGCAACGCCGCGUGAGUGAUGAAGGUUUUCGGAUCGUAAAGCUCUGUUGUUAGGGAAGAACAAGUGCCGUUCAAAUAGGGCGGCACCUUGACGGUACCUAACCAGAAAGCCACGGCUAACUACGUG
rnacentral:rRNA from 1 species